CAAACAUCAGUGGAGAAGAGCAUGCUUUUAGCUGUUAAUCGUGCCCAUUGCAAACACGGUUAUAUGUACGACCAUCGCAAUCGGUGCCGUCGAGUUGUGUGACACUCCGGUUGUCGGGCUCAUAAAUUCAUUAAGGCUUUAUUGUAUGUUAUAGUAUAUGUAGAAUCGACUACUGAACUCUAAUUAUGUGUCAUGAUGAAAUUAUUUUGAAACUUUCUGAACAUUAAAUGACAUUAGUAGAUAAAAAAAUAUACAACAAGAGCGAA